rnacentral:piRNA from 1 species
UCCCGGAGGAACCCGACAAUAUCACUA